rnacentral:lncRNA from 10 species
UUGUGUGAAACACUAACGAAGAACUUGCAGCCUCUGAAAAGAACUAUAGAAGAGCAUUGUGGGCCCAGAUUCUCAGCAGAUAUUGUUGAACAAAACAGAAUUUUAUCCACUUGGGAUACCUUAGCCCUCUGGCAGCACCAUCAUACAGAAUUUGGACUAACUGCUUGUUUAACAGCCUGGAUCACCUUCUAGACGACCAGCUCCUUGAAGACGGAGGGUCAGGAAUUUGGAGAAGACAUGGUGCGACGGCUUGUCGCUGCUCU